rnacentral:lncRNA from 1 species
GUUUCGCUAAUGUGGUUUCUUCAAGAAUUGGGGUUAGAAAGCAACCGUCCUGUCACCAUUUUUUGUGAUAAUAAAGCAGCAAUUCAAUUGGCCAAUCAUCCAGCCUACCACCCAAAAACCAAACACAUAAGGGUUAGCCUACCACAUCAUUCGCGACUACAUAGAAGAGAAAGAAAUCAAGGUGGUGAGCAUUGACACAAAAAAGCAACUGGCUUACAUUUUCACAAAGCCGCUACCCCACGCUGACUUCAAGAAAUUUUGCGAGCUGAUUAGUGUCCACCCUAUUAAAUAAUGUUUGUUCCCUCCACAAAAAAAAGAAAAGGCUAAAAAGGGGAAUUAUCUCCUCUGUGUCAACCACUUAACCUACAGUUACCUUUUUUUCUGUUUAUUUACUCUAAUUUCUCUGAGUGGGAUUGUUGGAACAGAGAAAUCUGUGUGCACCGUUUCUGGUUGCCAAACCCCAUGAGUUGCGGAAACCCAGGCAACUGUUUAGCUGCAGCUUGUCUCUCUACCUCAAAAGUGAGUCCCUACGGAAGUAAAGUAAAACUUGUCACUUGUGUUCUCAACCAUACGUAGAUAGCAACAACAUUAACAUCAUCUGAUGAUGACAGAUCAACCCUUAUUUGUUGAUAAGCUUCGGGACUUGAUGACAACGGUAGCCGUCGAAAUUUGUAUCGUCAACAAACGGUGUAGCCAUUUUAGUAAGAGAUGUAGGAUCGGCAGCUAAGUGAAGUUGAUGAAAUAUGAUGAGACUAACCCAAUCAGUAGGAUCGCUUAUUUUCAAAAUUAAACCAAUAUGUUUCAUUUCCUAAAAUUUUUCUUUAAACUGGGUCUCUAUGAUGAGCUGGGCACACCAAAGGUAAGCUGACUUUUAAAUUUAAAUGCCAUGUUCUACCGGCAGUCAAUUCAAUUGAACACUGACUCAAAUUUGUUAAUUAAAUUAGUCACUGAUGUUUCUUAAUGAAUAAAAGGUUCACUUUUCAUUUUAGGGUUUUGUAAUGAAUCAAUUAACUUGACUACAUUGAGGACCUUACACGAAGGCAGACCCCGCCAACACCGGAACAUCAACGUCUUCAGCCACGACACAAAUUAAAGGAAAUAUUGUUAUACGCCACAUCAAGUCGUUCUUGUCCUACCACGUUUACUGGCUGUCUAUGGUUUGCUGUAACUCUUGGACCAGGUAAAAAUCACACUCUAAAUUUUGAGACCCGUUCUACGUAGUACGGGUACGUACUAUGUAAUAAAUUGUCUACUGUAUUUUGAGUUCCUUUUUUCCUUUGUUGUUUUCCAUCAUCAAACUGAAACCCUUUUUCUCGUCGUUGACUUAUAUAUUAUUGAUUGUGGAAAUGAAUUCUCUAAUGCA